UAAUUGAAGAGUUUGAUCAUGGCUCAGAUUGAACGCUGGCGGCAGGCCUAACACAUGCAAGUCGAACGGUAACAGGGAGCAGCUUGCUGCUCUGCUGACGAGUGGCGGACGGGUGAGUAAUGUCUGGG
rnacentral:rRNA from 1 species